rnacentral:rRNA from 1 species
AUGACCUCGUCUCUGAUUUUGUUUUUGUUUUUUUCCUGGGGAUUUCAGGACAGGAGGGCGGCGUCGCAAGGGGAUUACGACGAGCAAGACCGGCGGGUGAAAGGCGCCGAGGUGUUCGUCGGCGGGCUGCCGCGGUCGGCGACGGAGGGGACACUCCGAGAGAUAUUUUCUACUUGUGGUGAGAUUGUUGACUUACACAUAAUGAAGGAUCAGAAUGGUGUUUCCAAGGGAUUUGGAUUUGUGAGAUUUGCAGAAAGGGAGUGUGCUUAUAUUGCUAAAAGGCAAAAGAAUGGGAUUGAGCUUCAAGGAAAGCGACUAGCUGUUGAUCUUUCUUUGGAUCAAGAUACACUCUUCUUUGGAAAUCUUUGCAAAGAAUGGAGUGCUGAAGAAUUUGAAGAAUUGAUUCAUAAGACAUUCAAAGAUGUCAUAUCAGUUGACCUUGCAACGGCUUCAAAUCUUGAUUCUUCAACGAGCAAAAGGCGUCUAAAUCGAGGCUUUGCGUUUGUGCGAUUUUCUUCUCAUGGAGCUGCAGCACGUGUACUCCGUAUUGGUUCCAGAACAGAUUUUAUGCUUGGUGGUAUUUUGCAUCCAGCAAUAAAUUGGGCUGAGAGGGAGUCUAAUGUGGAUGCUGAUGAAAUGGCCAAGAUUAAGACUGCUUUUGUUGGUAAUCUACCAGCAAAUGCCAACGAGGAAUAUUUGAAAAAGCUUUUUGGACAUUUUGGAGAGGUAAUUCGGGUUGCGGUCUCAAGAAAAGGACAAUACCCAGUUGGAUUCAUUCACUUUGGCAGUCGUUCAGAGCUUGACAAUGCAAUAAAAGAAAUGGAUGGUAAAACUGUCAGCGGACCUAACCGAGGACCAUCUUUCAAGAUCCAGGUUUCAGUUGCUCGACCUGCAGUAGAGAACGAUAAUAAGAGAAGUCGUGAAGAGGUGAAAACUAGAAGAUCAAAUGUAUCAGGAGGCAAGCCAGAUUAUUCUCAUGGCAGAUACGGACAUGAUUCGAUUGAACGGCAAACGAAAGCUCCAAGACUAUCAAACAGGGUGUCUGAUGUCACUGAUCCCUAUGAAGCAGCUGUUAAUUCACUACCUUCAGCCGUCAACGAACUCUUACUUCGUAUUUUACGUCUUGGAAUUGGCAGUCCAUACGACAUUGACAUCCAUUGCAUAAAGAGCCUCAGUGAGCUCCCUGAGUCAGGUGCUGUUGCCGUCCUUAAUCAGUUUUUGAUAACAGGUUCUGACAAACGCAAUAAAGGAGAAUAUUUCCUUUCAUUAAUUGCUAAGCGCAAGGUUGAGGCUUUUGGCGCAGCACAAAUAUUACAGGAUACUACUUAUUUGUCCAGAAAUUCUGAAAUACAAACCAAGCGAUACCGGCAUCAAGAUUACGAUUACACAGCAUCCGGUAGAUACAGCUCCCUAGGCGGUUAUCCUUCCUCCUCUUAUGUUGACGAUCCAAUUGUGUCUCAGUCAAGAAGAUAUGCCGAAGAAAGACCCGCUGUUGUAAGAUACCCAGAGCCAAGACUGCGGCGAGAAGAAGUACUACUUGAACCACGACCAAAUAUUGGAAGGCAACUAGAUCGAAUAUACACACAAGAACAGAGUUAUAACGAAAGAUCCGCACAUGAAGCCAGGCAGGACACGGGAAGGCAUCUAGAUCGAAGAGACAUACAUGAGCAUAGUUAUAAGGAAAGGUCGGCACAUGAACCCAGACAGGACACUGGAAGGCAUCUAGAUCGAAGAUACACACAAGAACAGAGUUAUAAUGAUAGAUCAGCACAUGAAACCAGGCAGGACACUGGAAGGCAUCUAGAUCGUAGAAACAUACAUGAGCAGAGUUAUAUUGAGAGAUCAGCACAUGAACCUAGACAGAACACCGGAAGGCAUCUAGAGCGAAGAUACACACAAGAACAGAGUUACAUUGAAAGACCAGCCGAAGCUGUUCUCUCUAGGGAAAGAAGAUUGGUAUCUGCCACAGGGUACGCCACAAACAUAGAACCAGAAUUCAAGUCCAGGUCCUCUGCUGAAUAUUCUGCUGAACAUCAGCAGAUGAGGUUUGAUCCCUACACAGGGGAGCCUUACAAGUUUGAUCCCUUCACUGGGGAGCCCAUCAGGCCAGAAGCAAGCCUGCGUCGCUCAGGAAGCUUAUACUGA